UACGUAGGAUGCAAGCGUUGUCCGGAAUUAUUGGGCGUAAAGAGCGCGCAGGCGGUAUGACAAGUCAGAUGUGAAAGAGGCCGGCUUAACCGGCAAGGGUCAUUUGAAACUGUCAGACUAGAGUGCAGCAGAGGAUAGUGGAAUUCCCGGUGUAGUGGUGAAAUGCGUAGAUAUCGGGAGGAACACCAGUGGCGAAGGCGACUAUCUGGGCUGCAACUGACGCUGAGGCGCGAAGGCGAGGGUAGCAAACAGG
rnacentral:rRNA from 1 species